GCCGCGCUUCGUAUUUAAACGUGUGUCUUCCGAUCGCCCAUUCGGAGCCGGCGGCGAUCGGCGGUGUUCAUCGGCCCAAGAGUCGGGUUGCUUCGGAACGCAGCCCAAAGCAGGUGGUAAGCUCCAUCCAAGGCUAAAUACGGGGACGAGUCCAAUAGCCGACAAGUACCGCGAGGGAAAGUUGAAAAGAACUUUGGAGAAGAGUUCAAGAGACCGUGAAACCGCCCAGGUGUAAACUGGUAGGACCGCUCACCGCGAUCGCGAAGGGACUCAGUCCG